rnacentral:lncRNA from 1 species
GCCUUGCCAGUCAUAACCACAUCUCAAAAAUCAAAAUCAACCACAGGGCUCUUUAGAAUACUCGACAAGCCUAGCAUUUACACAAAAACCAACUCCCCUGUACACAACAAACUAUACAGAACUGAUGGAGACUAACGAAAUACUGUAAAUCAACCUCAACAAAAAGUGAACAUCAACAAAAUGAAAACCAAGAGGAACCAUCAUGCAAAAGCAGCAAUCCAAUCUUUCCAACAAUCUCAAGCCCAGGUCACACUACAAAUCAUAAAAAGCUUUCAUUAAAACAAACUGAAGCCAUCUUAUAGGAGCUGCAAAGACCAGUAACCAUAACAAGAAUAGCACCAGUUCAGCAAGCCCAGAAUGAAGGAAAUCACUCCCAUAGACAGCAGCUAGUCGUCAGGCAAUCAAGGCAUCCCAAUUCAUUCACAAAGAAAUGUGUAGCAUAUUAAGAAAACAUUCUUGGAAAAUAGAGUCAAAUCUAAAGAAAAUUUUAAGUAGGGAGAAAAUAGUUCUUUCCCUUUAAAGCCAAUUGAACAAGCAUGCAAUUAUUCAAUACCAAAUGCAUUUUCAAAAUUUUGAAAGGAUUACCUGACAGCAACCUUUAGUUAUUUCCAGAAAAUAUAAACUGAACCACAACAUGGCUUAAAAGUUAUUCUGAAAAUGAACCUUCUUUAAUUCUAAGAAAGAAUGUCUCACUUCAAGGACCCUGGGAUCACAAAGAGAGAAAGCCUCCUACAAGAAAGCAAUAAAGCACUUAAAUUAAUUAAUUCUCAAACUCAUAGAUAAAUAUUCUACUGUAUAACCUUAUUGUCAGCUUUGCUGACAAGAAAUGUUCAACAACAGCUAUUCCAACAAUCUGGAUGCAAGUAGAAAAAAAAAAUUGAAAAAAGUAGAGUGCUGAAGCAAAUGUGGGAGGACGCUAAUGACUAACCUCCCCCGUGGUGAGCACUUCCAGUGCAUCUUUAUGCAGUUAUUUCAUUGUUAGAUUCUUUGCAUCUGCAUGAAGCAUCAGACCAAUCAUCAUUGCCCUGUUUAAAGACAAUUCAAAUCUUACUCUACUUGUAAAAACGAGCCCAAAUACCUUAAAACCAGAGGAAAAUGAGCCCAAAGAGCUUAAAACCAUAGGAAUAAAUCUCAGUUCCUAAUUGCACUUAAAAAAAUUCUCUUUCACUUGGACAAACUUGCCAAGCAGGGUAAGUCCUUGCUUCAUCUGAAAAGUUCGAAGGAAAGAAAAGACAUUUUUGAAAGUAUUCCCCCUCUUCAAAUAUCAACACUGACAUUUGUGUAGUCAAGGCCAUAGGUUCUCCAAUUAGACGCUCGAUAUCAUCUAAAGUUAAGGUAAACAGCAAAGGACUAAUAUCUAUUCACGGGAACAUAUUAGCAUUUCACUAUAAUUCAAUCAUAGACUUCAGAAUACAUUACAACACUUUAAUUUUAAGACAUAAAAGAUUAUACCGAUUCUAUCAAAUAUAAGAACACAGUAAAAUCAAAAUAACUCGUGCAACCUUCGACACUGAAAACAAAAGAGCAAAAAAAAAACUUCCAUAUUUUUAUGUAC